ensembl:lncRNA
UACUGCAUAAAAAUUUUGUUUUGCCACCUCCACUUGUUGUUGAUAAGGAAGAGGAGUUGUGGCUUAGGAGAGUGCAGUGGAAGUUCGGAAUCUCUAGGAGCAUGAUAGUAAGACAAUUUCCUUCAACCCUUUUGUUGAUUUGUUACAUUCACCUUGCAAUGGACUAAAAUUUUAUUUACUGCAUAUAACUGCAUGAACCAGUCCAACUUUAAUAGUAUGACCUGCCAAUUACAAUAUUUGAUUAAAAUUUUUGUGUGGCAGGUUGAAAAAAAAGUUUGAAAACACAAAUCAUUGUGGCCACACCUUUGGACAUCAGAUUCCACCCCUGAACCCAGUGAGAGCUGCUCAUUGCUCCUGCAAAAUCAAGUUGCUGAACGUGGCCUACGUCCUCAAUUCAGAACACCUAGUUUAGACCCAGGGCUUCUUGAGUUUAAAUGAGUGCACGGAGAUGGCCACGAGGUGGCGGAAAUACCUUUUUAAAAAAAUAGUUGUCUAUGGCCCAAACACUUCAAAAAGUUCAGUAGCCAAAUAGUUUUACCGUUAUCAGUCAUUCAUCACUGCUACAGGCCAAACUUGACACCAGAGUCGUCUCUGAAGCUGACAGCACUGAAAGCAUAGAUGCUCUAAAUGAAUUAAAUGAGGAAGGCACAGGAUAUAAACUGAAGACUAUACACAAAAACAAACACCAUGAAAACCAAAAGGUCACCAGUGGCUGCCCUCUUUUCCAAACUUGGCACUAUUCACAGGCUGGCAGGAGUACGAUAUUCACCACCUAUGCACUCAGUCAAUAAUGUUGACAUUUAUUUCUAAAGUUUUGGGGGUUUUUAAUUCUUUACAUCUACAUUAAAAAGAUGGGGGGAGGGGGGGUGCCCCGAUGCAUGAUGAGGCUUCCACAGCUGCCAAAUUUUAUAGUGACAAAUCAGCCCGUGCUCAGUUUGCAGAUGAAGCCCCAUCUGCUGCCAAAGCACGCUCAGCCAGCGCUGCAGGCCUCCUCAGGCCGCAGAUUGUGGAGACCCACUGCCUGCAACUCCUUGCAGUGGAGCACAGCUAAACACAAGGGAAGCUCAGAGGAAGAGGACCCUCUUUAUAAAGGAUCUGGCCAUUCAAAUCAGGGAGAAGCCAACAUUUCGUUAGAGCGCUGAACAUGCAGGCUAAAAUCUCACCAGGGAGUUUCUCUCAUUAGGUCCAGGUGUUGGCUAAUCCACCCUCGUCUUUCGUUGCCCUGAGGAGCAGCAAAAUCGAGCUGGAAGGUGCAAUGCUGAAACGGCGAAGCAGAGAGAGUCCCAGCGACGGAAACUCUCCAUGCUGCUAGAGCACACCCAACACGCAGGUGAUGGACGCUGGAAGAAGUAAUAUACUAGGGAAACGAAGAAGCAGCAAAGGCGAACAGCGUUGCCAGCAGCUGCUCCCAUCCGGGGCUGUGAGCAACGGGCCACCCGCCCUCGCCAAGGCCUGAGCAUAGCUCAUCCUGCAGGCAGCUUUCACCUGCAAGUCUUUGCUGUUGGUUUUUUCUCUUCCUUUGCCUAGCGCUCUACAGCGUUUCCCGAGAUGGGAGGUUUUCGGCGAAGCCCGGAGAAAGCUGGCCUCGCCGUUUCGUACGAGAGGGUAUUUAAA